AUUGAACGCUGGCGGCAGGCCUAACACAUGCAAGUCGAGCGAGCGGCGGACGGGUGAGUAAUGUAUGGGGACUGCCCGAUAGAGGGGGAUAACUACUGGAAACGGUGGCUAAUACCGCAUACUAUCGGAUAACCCAUAUGGGAUUAGCUAGUAGGUGGGGUAAAGGCUCACCUAGGCGACGAUCUCUAGCUGGACUGAGAGGAUGACCAGCAACUAUGGGACUGAGACACGGCCAAGACUCCGACGGAGGCAGCAGUGGGGGAUAUUGCACAAUGGGGGCAAGCCAGAUACAGCCGUGCCGCGUGUAUUAAAAAGGCCUUAGGGUGGUAAAGUACUUUCAGCGGGAAGGCGUUACCCGCAGAAGAAGCACCGGCUAACUCCGUGCCAGCAGCCGCGGUAAUAC
rnacentral:rRNA from 1 species